rnacentral:miRNA from 1 species
CCUCACUUGACCCGCUGCAG